UACGUAGGUGGCAAGCGUUGUCCGGAUUUACUGGGCGUAAAGAGCGCGCAGGCGGUCGUUCAAGUCGCGUGUGAAAGCCCCCGGCUCAACUGGGGAGGGUCACGCGAUACUGAUCGACUCGAAGGCAGGAGAGGGUAGUGGAAUUCCCGGUGUAGUGGUGAAAUGCGUAGAUAUCAGGAGGAACACCUAUAGCGAAGGCAGCUCGCUGGGACGUUACUGACGCUGAGGCGCGAAAGCGUGGGGAGCGAACAGG
rnacentral:rRNA from 1 species